UGGGGAGUGGUGUAACGGUAACACGACUGGCUCUGGACCAGUUGUUCCAGGUUCGAAUCCUGGCUCCCCAGCAA
rnacentral:tRNA from 1 species